rnacentral:SRP_RNA from 1 species
GGCUAGGUCCCGUACGGUAGACUUGUUAUUGAAUCCGCUAGGUCCGGAAGGAAGCAACGGCGUUUAACGAGCUAGGCGAUACGGGUCGCCUAGCCACU